AGUUAUUACUAUAAUUCAGACAUCUAAAUGAAAAUAAAGCUAGUAAGCCAUCACGUUUGCGCACGCUACUUGCGUGUCGUGUGCAGCAUCACUGUUCAUGCAGAAAGCUUGUAGGCUAGUUGCUAACAUUAGCUUGUGGGUUUAUAGUAGCACAUAUAAAUCAUAACGACACAACCAUAUUGGAAUCUAAACACAUGUUUUAUUAUACUAACAGCGCAUUUAGUUGUUUCUUAUGUUUAAUAACUAAAAUGUGUGUGAUUUGGGAAAGUGCUGAUGCUAGAAGCAGGUUUAUUAACAUCAUGUGUGAGAAUUACAGCUGGUCAAUCACAGCAAACGACACAUUAAAGAACCAUGUGUCUUGUUUUACGACUCAUUUGUAAACCUUUAGAAAAUGUUUACCUGGUUUGAUGUUAGAAAAACUUGUUACACUAUAAACAACAAAGACAACACCUCCACAAAGUUGAAACUGGAUUUUAUUAAUUUGUUAGGUUGUAGAAAGAAAAAAGAAUUUUGAAAUGGCCAAAAAUUAUUAUCCAUGCUGAUAUUUAAUGCUGCUCAUAAGUGUGGCCUUUCUGUCUUACACGCUGCUUUUAAUCUACACAGUUUAUUCUUUAAUGAAUACAGAUUAACACAUAUAUCAGUUUUUAUUGCAUUCACUUCUCCAAGUAUUGAUUAAAAAAUCAGAAAUACAAUUGAGCGUUUUUUUCUCAGAAAAAGACACAUUUAUUUAAUUUUUAGACAUGUCUUGAACAGAACAAAGUAAUACAUAAAAAAAUGUUGGAGUUGUUUUUUUACCCUUGAUGUCGGCUCUUCACAUCAUUGUGGAGCAGAGUUCACCAAGCAUUCAAUUUUUCACCCGCUAUAGGGAAGGAGAGUUGGGUUUAGACCGUGGUGAGACAGUAGCCCUACUGAUGAUGUGUUGUUGCAGCAGGUGAGAGGCAUCAUGUGGGACUAUUGGGUGGUUGAGGUGUGUGUCACGUGAACCUCAGAAACAGGCUUGGAAAGCAAAGGUGGAGGUAGAAACCAGUCAUGGUGAAGUAUUCAUGACCCUGUAGCAGAGUAAGGAGGAACAGAGGCCUGGUUCAGGAACAGGCGAUCUCUGAUGACCCUCUGAAAGAGGCUGAAGGGUGCCUGUGGGCCCCCCUAUGCACUUGGGCGAUGGUUGAGGAACAUCUAGUAGAACCCAAAAGAUUCUGGUGGUUGAGGAGUUUCUCUUGGGACCCUCAAGAACUAUUUCAGUACUGUUGGUGUUCUCUAACUGUCUUGCUGCAUCAACCAGUUGUUGUCUGAUCAUCUGAGCGUGAAAAGUAAAAGUAAAGUCAGUUUGGGGAAGCCUGGGCGAUGGUGAGAUCAUCCACUCUUACCUUGGCUUGAGCUUCCCUAAAGAGGUCCACUGGCCCCUCCAGCACUAGCAUGAAAUCAGAAUUCAUCAGUAAUCUAGAAAGAUUUCAGUUAGAUUAAAACGGUGCAUACUUGUUCUGUAGCAUCUGAAAAGCUGAAAGUCAGAAAUGGAGAGGUGCAAAUUCUUAUUUAUUCUGUUUUAAUUCCAUAAACAACAGCCUUGCUCUAAUGGGAACCCAACCCCAUGAACAAGGGGUUUAUUAGAAGUCAAAUGUCAUGCUGCUGUUGGCUCCAAGUUAAACCUUUUCUUCUGUCUCUAGGAAUAUCUUGAAUUUCAGGGUAUCUUUAUAUCCCGCUCUUCCCUCUCUGGCCACCAUGGUGGACUUCCUGGCAGACAAUAACCUGUGUGGCCAGGCCAUCCUCAGGAUAGUUUCCAGAGGGAAUGCCAUCAUAGCAGAGCUUCUGCGUCUCUCUGACUUCAUCCCUCCAGUUUUUAGGCUGAAGGACAAAAAUGACCAGCAGAAAUAUGGAGACAUCAUCUGUGACUUCAGCUACUUUAAGGGUGCGGAGUAUUACGAGGGGAAGCUGGAAGCCAAAGCAGAGCUUCAGGACCUGGAUGAAGAGUUCAGAGAAAACAACACUGAGAUUCUGUCUCGGUUCUAUCUGGCCUUUGAGAGCGUUCACAAGUACAUAGUUGAUCUGAACAGAUAUUUAGAUGACCUAAAUGAUGGAGUUUAUAUUCAACAGACCUUAGAAACUGUUCUUCUGAAUGAAGAUGGGAAACAGCUACUAUGUGAGGCUCUCUAUCUGUAUGGAGUCAUGUUGUUGGUCAUUGACCAGAAGAUCGAAGGAGAGGUCAGAGAGCGGAUGCUUGUUUCCUAUUACAGAUACAGUGCUGCCCGCUCAUCAGUUGACUCCAACCUGGAUGACAUUUGUAAACUCCUGCGCAGCACCGGUUUCUCCAGCCAGCCUGGAGCCAAACGACCAGCCAGCUACCCAGACAGCUACUUCCAGAGGGUUCCCAUAAGCGCCACUUUCAUCAGCAUGGUCAUCGGGAGGCUGCGCUCCGACGACAUCUACAACCAGGUGUCUGCCUACCCUCUACCUGAGCAUCGAAGCACGGCGCUAGCUAACCAGGCAGCAAUGCUCUAUGUGUGUCUGUUCUUCAGCCCCUCCAUCCUGCAUACCCAACAGGCCAAGAUGAGGGAGAUCGUAGACAAGUACUUCCCUGAUAACUGGGUUAUCAGUAUCUACAUGGGCAUCACUGUCAACUUGGUGGAGGCCUGGGAGCCAUACAAAGCCGCUAAAACAGCUCUUAACUAUACCCUGGACUCUGCUAAUAUAAAAGAGCAGGCCACUCGCUACGCUGCCAGUUUGGAGAGCCAGAGGUCUCAGGUGCAGCAGCGGCUGAAGGAAGGUUUCCUCAGGGAGGAGAUCAUCCUGGACCACAUUCCCAAACUACUCAACUGUCUCAGGGACUGCAACGUGGCCAUCCGCUGGCUGAUGCUGCACUCUGCAGAGUCAGCCUACGACUUAAACAACAAGCGCCUGCGUCAGGUCAGGGAUCAAGUGCUCAGCGACUCCAAGUACAAACCAAAGAUCCUGUUCCAGCUGCUGCUGGACACAGCUCAGUUUGAGUUCAUGCUCAAAGAGAUGUUCAAGCAGAUGCUGUCAGAGAAGCAGCUCAAGUGGGAGAGCUACAAGAAAGAAGGAUCUGAGAGGAUGACCGAGCUGGCUGAAGUCUUCUCCGGCGUCAAACCUCUUACUCGGGUGGAGAAAAACGAAAACUUACAGGCGUGGUUCCGGGAAAUCUCAAAGCAGAUCGAGUCUUUGAACUAUGAGGACUCCACAGCCGCUGGGAGGAAGACGGCACAGCUGAUACAGGCGCUCAUUGAGGUGCAGGAGUUUCACCAGCUGGAGUCGAACCUGCAGGUAUGUCAGUUUUUGGCCGAUACCAGAAAGUUCCUGCACCAGAUGAUCCGCACCAUCAACAUCAAGGAGGAGGUCUUGAUCACCAUGCAGAUAGUUGGAGAUCUGUCCUACGCUUGGCAGAUUAUUGACAGCUUUACCUCUAUCAUGCAGGAGAGCAUCAGAGUCAGCCCGCCCAUGGUCACCAAGCUGAGAGCUACUUUUCUGAAGCUGGCGUCUGCCUUGGAUCUCCCGUUGCUGCGCAUCAACCAGGCCAACAGCGCAGACCUGCUGAGUGUCUCGCAGUUCUACUCUGGAGAGCUGGUGGCCUAUGUCAGAAAGGUGCUUCAGAUAAUCCCAGAGAGCAUGUUCACCUCUCUGGCUAAAAUCAUCAAACUUCAGAUCCACGACAUCAUGGAGGUUCCCACGCGGCUGGAUAAGGACAAGUUAAAGGACUACUCCCAGCUGGGGGCUCGCUAUGAAGUGGCAAAGCUCACUCAUGACAUCUCCAUUUUCACUGAGGGCAUCUUGAUGAUGAAGACAACUCUAGUUGGGAUCAUUAAAGUGGAUCCUAAGCAGCUUCUGGAGGAUGGCAUCAGGAAGGAGCUAGUAAAGAGAGUGGCUUAUGCUUUACACAAAGGCCUAAUCUUCAACCCCAAGGCUAAGCCCAGUGAACUCAUGCCCAAGUUGAAGGAGAUGGCAGCAACCAUGGACGGCUUCUACAGGUCGUUUGAGUACAUCCAGGACUACGUCAGCAUUUAUGGCCUCAAAAUCUGGCAGGAGGAAGUGUCUCGCAUCAUCAACUACAACGUGGAGCAGGAGUGCAACAGUUUCCUCAGGACAAAGAUCCAGGACUGGCAGAGUGUGCACCAGUCCACUCACAUACCCAUUCCAAAGUUUGCCUCCGUGGAUGAGUCUGCCACCUUCAUCGGUCGUCUCUGCAGAGAAAUCUUAAGAAUCACGGAUCCAAAGGUGACAUGCUACAUGGACCAGAUGAACACCUGGUACGACUUGAAGAGCCACCAGGAGGUGACCAAUAACAGGGUGUUCUCUGAGAUCCAGAACACUUUAGGGACCUUCGGUCUGAACGGACUGGACCGACUCCUCUGCUUCAUGAUCGUCAAGGAGCUUCAGAACUUCCUGACGAUGCUUCAGAAGACCAUCCUGAGAGACAAAGCUGCUGUGGACGUCUUUAAAGCAAUGGUGGCUGCUGUUAACCCGGUCCAAGGUAUUGUGGCUAAUUCCACUAAAGUGUACACAAGUGCUGUUGCCAAGUCUCAGAAGAUCUGGGGUUCUUAUCUGGAAUCCAUCAUGAAGUGUCUGUUUGUUGCAGGUUGGUCAGAUGCAGAUUCUCAGACAGCAGAUUGCCAACGAGUUAAACUUCUCCUGCAAGUUUGACUCCAAACAUCUGGGUGCUGCCCUGGAAAACCUCAACAAGUCUCUCCUAGCAGACAUUGAAGCUCACUACCAGGACCCGACAUUUCCAUACCCCAAAGAGGACAACACUCUGCUGUAUGAGAUCACUGCCUACCUGGAGGCUGCUGGCAUCCACAACCCCCUCAACAAGAUCUACAUCACAACAAAGCGUCUCCCAUACUUCCCCAUCAUCAACUUCUUGUUUGUUAUUGCUCAGUUGCCUAAACUUCAGUACAGCAAAAACCAAG